ACUUAACACAUGACAAGUACGAACGCGAAAGUCCUUCGGGGCGAGUAGAGUGGCGGACGGGUGAGUAACGCGUGGGAAUCUACCCUAGAGCGGGGGACAACCCGGGGAAACCCGGGCUAAUACCGCAUACGUCCUACGGGAGAAAGAGGGCCUCUGCUUGCACGCUCUCACUCCAGGAUGAGCCCACGUCCGAUUAGCUAGUUGGUAGGGUAAAGGCCUACCAAGGCCACGAUCGGUAGCUGGUCUGAGAGGAUGAUCAGCCACACUGGGACUGAGACACGGCCCAGACUCCUACGGGAGGCAGCAGUGGGGAAUAUUGGACAAUGGGCGCAAGCCUGAUCCAGCAAUGCCGCGUGUGUGAAGAAGGCCUGCGGGUUGUAAAGCACUUUCAGUGGGGAAGAACAGAUUCGGGUCAAUACCCCGGAGCCCUGACGUUACCCACAGAAGAAGCACCGGCUAACUCCGUG
rnacentral:rRNA from 1 species